rnacentral:rRNA from 1 species
GCUCAGUAACACGUGGAUAACUUACCCUUAGGACUGGGAUAACUCUGGGAAACUGGGGAUAAUACUGGAUAUUAGGCUAUGCCUGGAAUGGUUUGCCUUUGAAAUGUUUUUUUUCGCCUAAGGAUAGAUCUGCGGCUGAUUAGGUCGUUGGUGGGGUAAUGGCCCACCAAGCCGAUGAUCGGUACGGGUUGUGAGAGCAAGAGCCCGGAGAUGGAACCUGAGACAAGGUUCCAGACCCUACGGGGUGCAGCAGGCGCGAAACCUCCGCAAUGUACGAAAGUGCGACGGGGGGAUCCCAAGUGUUAUGCUUUUUGGUAUGACUUUUCAUUAGUGUAAAAAGCUUUUAGAAUAAGAGCUGGGCAAGACCGGUGCCAGCCGCCGCGGUAACACCGGCAGCUCGAGUGGUAGCUGUUUUUAUUGGGCCUAAAGCGUUCGUAGCCGGUUUGAUAAGUCUUUGGUGAAAGCUUGUAGCUUAACUAUAAGAAUUGCUGGAGAUACUAUUAGACUUGAAGUCGGGAGAGGUUAGAGGUACUACCGGGGUAGGGGUGAAAUCCUAUAAUCCUGGGAGGACCACCUGUGGCGAAGGCGUCUAACUGGAACGAUCUUGACGGUGAGUAACGAAAGCCAGGGGCGCGAACCGGAUUAGAUACCCGGGUAGUCCUGGCCGUAAACGAUGUGGACUUGGUGUUGGAAUGGCUUUGAGUUGUUCCGGUGCCGAAGGGAAGCUGUUAAGUCCACCGCCUGGGAAGUACGGUCGCAAGACUGGAACUUAAAGGAAUUGGCGGGGGAGCAC